rnacentral:pre_miRNA from 1 species
UUUUGCUGGUUUGCAUUCAGCUUUAACGGUGUUUGCUGUGCAAAUCCAUGCAAAACUG